GUGGCUAGCAUGGGCCACAGCGGGCAGCCCUUGAGACUAUCCAAUGAAGUUGAAUGAUGGGAGAUUCAGGACAGCCAAAAAGAAUCAUGCAGCUGUUCGGGCAGGCUAAAUCAUCCGUCUGGCUGGAUGUGCAACCGUCAUUCCCGCUGCUACGUCUGACGAAAACCAAAACCAGCCGCUCUAGCAAUACGAGAAACCAAUGCAGGAAAGCAGGAGAGACAAACCAGCAAGCGAAACAAGGCCUUCGUGGAAAGUGGUGAUCAAAACGGAACACCAUCCUCCAGCUGAGGCCUAGACACUGCCAAGUGAAGCAGGACUGUUCUUUCUCAGACCACCCCCAAUGGACAUUCCCAGGGAUUUGGCGCCAGUAUCCAAGCUCAAGUGGGACUGAUGGAAUAAAGAAUCCAACUUAUUAUUUUUGAAAAGAGAAAAAAAAGAGAAUUACUGGAAGGAAGUCUGGUCACAUAAUUUUCCCCCAAACCAUCAUCCCCACCCCCUGGCCAUGCAGGCUAGGACUGAUAAGAACUGGUGUCCAACAAGACACUCUCUUGAAGGGUCACAGGUUCCCUGCCACGGAUAUAGGGUCAUAGGAGAGAGGGGGAACUCUAGGAUGAUUCAAUUCGAGGCCCUUCCAGUGCCAUAAUUCUCUUAUCUUCUCUGUAGCAGCCUGAAGGGAAAGGGACUGCCGAAAUAUCUCCAUUUUUGCCGUUGGGAUCACCCAGUGUCAGAGGAAUGAAGAUGCGGACAUCAGCCAACAGGAACCGGUUGUCAUGGACGGACUGGACGCAGAAGAGGCACCAGCCGGGGAACCCACUAGGGAACCGCCAGGGGAAGAAAGCUCAGAGCCAGGGGAGUUGUGGCGGGACAACGAUGAGAGAGGUCUGGGGAAGGGAGGUGUCGGAAGCUGGAGG